UUCUUUCUCUCACUUAAUUUCCUCCAAGCAGUCAAGCACAGGUAUUCUAAUCAAAUCCUCAAAAUAAAAUCCUAAUCAAAUCAAUUAAUCCAAAUAUGAUCACGUUUGAUCAACUAAUAAAAUUCAAAAAAAAAAAAUCAUUCAUAAUCAAUUAUAAAUAGUUCGGUGACCAUAUGUGAUUCCCUAUUCCCUUUUGAAAAAAAAAUUCAAUUAUUUCUUACUGAAUAGGAUGGCUAGGGUUCUUCAUGCAAAAUAGGAAUGAAGGGCGGAGGUGAGGAAUCUGGUGGGAGGAAACGGCUAUAACGUAUAAUAGGAGUAAGAAGACAAAUAGUAACACCAAGAAUAGGAAAGAAAAGGAAGUGUUGGAAAGGGGGGGAAGGAAAGGGGGACGGAGCUAUAAGCCAAGUGGAAUGACUUGUGGCCGAGUACAACGUAGUAGAAGGUGCAUAUGUAUGUACGUACGAACAAUCAAAAGGUGGGUGCAUAUGUAUGUACGUUCGAACAAUUAAAAGGAUAUACUGUUUUAUGGAAGCCCUAGUGCUAGCGCUGGUAUCUAAGUUAGCUUUUGGAACAUUAGUUUCCAAGAACGUUCAUACGGCACCAGUUGUAACUAUACUGUUUCAUGUUCAACUCUUUUGUUCUAAUUGAAACGUUCAUUUUUUUUUGUUAGUGAAGUAUGUUGUUAAGAUCGUUAAUUAUAGUCCAAAGUUCUCUUGA